rnacentral:rRNA from 1 species
GACGAACGCUGGCGGCGUGCCUAAUACAUGCAAGUUGAGCGAUGAAGAUUGGUGCUUGCACCAAUUUGAAGAGCAGCGAACGGGUGAGUAACGCGUGGGGAAUCUGCCUUUGAGCGGGGGACAACAUUUGGAAACGAAUGCUAAUACCGCAUAACAACUUUAAACAUAAGUUUUAAGUUUGAAAGAUGCAAUUGCAUCACUCAAAGAUGAUUCCGCGUUGUAUUAGCUAGUUGGUGAGGUAAAGGCUCACCAAGGCGAUGAUACAUAGCCGACCUGAGAGGGUGAUCGGCCACAUUGGGACUGAGACACGGCCCAAACUCCUACGGGAGGCAGCAGUAGGGAAUCUUCGGCAAUGGACGAAAGUCUGACCGAGCAACGCCGAGUGAGUGAAGAAGGUUUUCGGAUCGUAAAACUCUGUUGGUAGAGAAGAACGUUGGUGAGAGUGGAAAGCUCAUCAAGUGACGGUAACUACCCAGAAAGGGACGGCUAACUACGUG